GUGAGUAGUUCAGAGUUUGAUCCUGGCUCAGGAUGAACGCUGGCGGCAUGCCUAAUACAUGCAAGUCGAACGAAGCUUCUUCGGAAGCUUAGUGGCGAACGGGUGAGUAACACGUAGGUAACCUGCCUUCAAGACUGGGAUAACGAUUGGAAACGAUUGCUAAUACCGGAUAGGUAACAGAACCGCAUGGAUCUGUUAUUAAAGUUGGGACACAACACUUGAAGAUGGACCUGCGGUGCAUUAGCUAGUUGGUGAGGUAACGGCCCACCAAGGCGACGAUGCAUAGCCGACCUGAGAGGGUGAACGGCCACAUUGGGACUGAGACACGGCCCAG
rnacentral:rRNA from 1 species